rnacentral:misc_RNA from 1 species
AACGCACAUUGCGCCCGAGGUUUAGGCCAAGGGCAUGGCUGGCUCAGCGUCGAUGCACCCCCUCGCCCCCAAGCGGGGCGGACCUUGGUUCCCUCGGCUCAUUCUGUGGCCGGGCGGACUGAAGCGCAAGGCCCUCGCCGGCUCCGCCGCUUGGAGGCAGCACGGUAGGUCGCCCUCAUCAGGUGACUGUGCCGGGAUUGCAGGCCAGGCGACGGAGAUCCAAGCUGAUCGAGGGAGGCAGGAGACGUACCAAAAUCCAUUCGACCUGAGCUCAGGCAAGAGCACCCGCUGAACUUAA